rnacentral:rRNA from 1 species
GAGCACGCCGCGUGAGUGAUGAAGGCUUUCGGGUCGUAAAGCUCUGUUGUUAGGGAAGAACAAGUACCAGAGUAACUGCUCGUACCUUGACGGUACCUAACCAGAAAGCCACGGCUAACUACGUGCCAGCAGCCGCGGUAAUACUCUGGGCGACC